UACGGAGGGUGCAAGCGUUAAUCGGAAUUACUGGGCGUAAAGCGUGCGCAGGCGGUUCGUUGUGUCGGCGGUGAAAGCCCCGGGCUUAACCUGGGAAUGGCCGUCGAAACUGGCGAACUGGAGUGUGGCAGAGGGGGGUGGAAUUCCGCGUGUAGCAGUGAAAUGCGUAGAGAUGCGGAGGAACACCGAUGGCGAAGGCAGCCCCCUGGGCUGACACUGACGCUCAGGCACGAAAGCGUGGGGAGCAAACAGG
rnacentral:rRNA from 1 species